UACGGAGGGUGCAAGCGUUAUCCGGAUUCACUGGGUUUAAAGGGUGCGUAGGUGGGCUAGUAAGUCAGUGGUGAAAUCCCCGAGCUUAACUCGGGAACUGCCAUUGAUACUAUUAGUCUUGAAUAUUGUGGAAGUCAGCGGAAUAUGUCAUGUAGCGGUGAAAUGCUUAGAUAUGACAUAGAACACCAAUUGCGAAGGCAGCUGGCUACGCAUAUAUUGACACUGAGGCACGAAAGCGUGGGGAUCAAACAGG
rnacentral:rRNA from 1 species